ACGGAGGGCGCAAGCGUUAUUCGGAAUCACUGGGCGUAAAGCGCGCGUAGGCGGAUUGGUAAGUCAGGCGUGAAAGCCCUCGGCCUAACCGGGGAAUUGCGUUUGAUACUGCCAGACUUGAGUGCCGGAGAGGGUGGCGGAAUUCCAGGUGUAGGGGUGAAAUCCGUAGAUAUCUGGAGGAACACCGGUGGCGAAGGCGGCCACCUGGACGGAAACUGACGCUGAGGCGCGAAGGCGUGGGUAGCAAACAG
rnacentral:rRNA from 1 species